ACCUUCUACCAGAUAUUCGCUGGAUCCUCUACCAUGUCCAGUGAAAGACAAGUGCAAGGGAGAGCAAGUGCAUGUGGCAAUCAAAGCGAGUGAUUUGUGCAAUUAAAGUUGCCAUUGCUAUUUGAGGCUACAUCGACAUU
rnacentral:snoRNA from 1 species